CCUACGGGAGGCAGCAGUGAGGAAUAUUGGUCAAUGGGCUUACGCCUGAACCAGCCAAGUCGCGUGAGGGAAUACUGCCCUAUGUGUUGUAAACCUCUUUUGUCAGGGAGCAACGCCGGCUACGUGUACCCGGACUGAGAGUACCUGAAGAAAAAGCAUCGGCUAACUCCGUGCCAGCAGCCGCGGUAAUACGGAGGAUGCGAGCGUUAUCCGGAUUUAUUGGGUUUAAAGGGUGCGUAGGCGGAAUGCCAAGUCAGCGGUAAAAUCGAGGUGCUCAACCUCGCCCCGCCGUUGACACUGGCGUUCUUGAGUGGGCGAGAAGUAUGCGGAAGGCGUGGGGUAGCGGGGAAAUGCAUAGAUAUCACGCAGAACUCCGAGUGCGAAGGCAGCAUACCGGCGCCCAAAUGACGCUGAAGCACGAAAGCGUGGGUAUCGAACAGGAUUAGAUACCCUUGUAGUC
rnacentral:rRNA from 1 species